GGGGCAGCUCUCCGCCUGCUGUCCAAUUGGGGAAACUGGAAUUUUGGCCAGACAAGACACGGUUGUCCCUCUCUUCCUCUGUCAGUCUUUCUCAUAAUUAACUUGCACUCAGUCGUUACUUCAAAUAGACAAUUUGGCAUUAAAGUGAUGAAGACAGAGAAGGACAGACUGUGUCGGAGAGCAGGACAGAGAAGAAUGCAUAUAAAGACCAUGAAGACCUCGCUCCAGCUACAAGAACAGCAGGAAGUCCUACAACAGAUGGCACCCCCCCCCCAAACCCCAGCCCGAGUUUUGAUCAGCAUCAUGGGAUCAUAGAGUUGGUGUGAGAUUACGGAGCGUCACAGGGACUUCUGCCAAAGAGGGGAGGACACGUUAGAGCUGGCUGAGCAGGCUGCAGGGAGGGAGCCAGAGGAACAGAGGUGAGCAAUGGAAACUGGACAGAUAGGCUGAUGUCAGCCAGUUUAAGGAUACAGGUCAUUAGGAUUUGCAGGAAUCAACUGGAAUUUUUCAACAGGCAGGAAUUUCCAGCCAUAACAUCAAAUGUUAUGAGAGCACACAAGAGAACAGAAUUAGAAAAUUCUUAAGGCAACGGCUCAGAGAAAAUAUGAGCAGUCUGAUUACAACAGCUGAGGGGGCAACGGUCUGGUGUAGUUUGGAGGCUCAAGCCAUCCUGAAGGAAUGAGCGAGAGAAAGGAAGACAAAGAUCCUCCUCUCGAGGACAAAGAGAACUUUUUGUGUAAUGACGGACAUUGUCAGGUGUAAUGUACUGUACAUCUAUUUCUGCAAAUAAGUAUAUCUAGACAUGUAAAACAGCUUGUUUUGCACAGCUAGAUAUGCUUUACAUAUGCAAUUUUAAUUCUGUUCAUUUCCUGGAUGUCUGCAAAAACAAUUUAUUUCAUUUUUUCUUUUGCGGCGUCAGGCUCUUAAUACCUGCUGUGAAGCAGUCAGAACAAAUUAUGGCUGGUUUGACAGGAUUAACAUCAUUUGCUCUCGUACACUGUAAUGUUUCAAUGUUUUCAUUGUCGUGGGAAAGGUUUACCCAACAUAACCCCCACACCCACCCAAGUCUCUGUGUUUUCCAUUUAGGCUUACACAUAACAGCAUCAGUCCCCCAUACGCAGGCUCAAACAGAAGGAGAGUUUCACUAAAUGAAUAAAAGUGGUGGCACAUUACCCCUACAGGAGCCCCUACUCAACCCAUACCACGAAGCUCCCGGUGCACGUUUUCUGUGCUGAUGGUCUUUUUCUUCAUCGUUAUGUCCUGGCUUGGCUUGAGUUAUGUUGCCCUAUAACUUUGUGUGUCAACUGGUUGAGUUGAUGUGGUUCUUAGACACUUCCAGUUUAAAAUAAUAGCAGUUACAGUUGAUUAUAGAAUGUCCAGGGAACAAAUUGCACUUGUUGCAUUUAUUAUAUAUAUUUAUAUACUUGUGCUAACUAGGCCAAUUCAAAGAUAUUGAAUUUGACCCAGUACAGCACAGUUUAUCUCAUUUAGAUUGGGACUAGCAAAAAUGGAUCGCAGGUGAAUGUUGUAAUCCUUUUGUAAAUUGGAAGCAGAGUUGGGUGGAUAAUAUGAGCGCAUUGUGCAACACAGUCAUGUGUUCUGGCGAGCUGAGCGUCCUACAAAAACACGAGAGACGAGACUACAACCUGCCUUCCUCCCCUCGCCUCCAACCAGAUGACCGCCCCUCCCUGAGCCUGGUUCUACUGGAGGUCACUUCCAGUUCAAGGGGAUUUCUUCCUUCCCACUGUUGCCAAGCGCUUGUUCAUGGGGGUGUUUUGAUUGUCGGUGUUUUCUCUGUAUGAUUGUAGGGUCUUUACCUUACAAUAUGAAUCGCCUGCUGGAGGCAACUGUUCUUAUGAUUUGGAGCUAUAUAAAUAAAGCUGAAUUGAACUGA